rnacentral:rRNA from 1 species
UACGGAGGGUGCAAGCGUUAUCCGGAAUCACUGGGUUUAAAGGGUGCGUAGGCGGCCUUGUAAGUCAGAGGUGAAAUCUUCCCGCUUAACGGGAGAACUGCCUUUGAUACUGCAAAGCUUGAAUGAGCACGAGGCAGGCGGAAUGUGGCAUGUAGCGGUGAAAUGCUUAGAUAUGCCAUAGAACACCGAUUGCGAAGGCAGCCUGCCAGAGCUGUAUUGACGCUGAGGCAGAAAGCGUGG